rnacentral:rRNA from 1 species
AGAGUUUGAUCAUGGCUCAGAUUGAACGCUGGCGGCAGGCCUAACACAUGCAAGUCGAGCGGUAGCACAGAGAGCUUGCUCUCGGGUGACGAGCGGCGGACGGGUGAGUAAUGUCUGGGAAACUGCCUGAUGGAGGGGGAUAACUACUGGAAACGGUAGCUAAUACCGCAUAACGUCGCAAGACCAAAGUGGGGGACCUUCGGGCCUCAUGCCAUCAGAUGUGCCCAGAUGGGAUUAGCUAGUAGGUGGGGUAACGGCUCACCUAGGCGACGAUCCCUAGCUGGUCUGAGAGGAUGACCAGCCACACUGGAACUGAGACACGGUCCAGACUCCUACGGGAGGCAGCAGUGGGGAAUAUUGCACAAUGGGCGCAAGCCUGAUGCAGCCAUGCCGCGUGUGUGAAGAAGGCCUUCGGGUUGUAAAGCACUUUCAGCGGGGAGGAAGGCGUUAAGGUUAAUAACCUCAUCGAUUGACGUUACCCGCAGAAGAAGCACCGGCUAACUCCGUGCCAGCAGCCGCGGUAAUACGGAGGGUGCAAGCGUUAAUCGGAAUUACUGGGCGUAAAGCGCACGCAGGCGGUCUGUCAAGUCGGAUGUGAAAUCCCCGGGCUCAACCUGGGAACUGCAUUCGAAACUGGCAGGCUAGAGUCUUGUAGAGGGGGGUAGAAUUCCAGGUGUAGCGGUGAAAUGCGUAGAGAUCUGGAGGAAUACCGGUGGCGAAGGCGGCCCCCUGGACAAAGACUGACGCUCAGGUGCGAAAGCGUGGGGAGCAAACAGGAUUAGAUACCCUGGUAGUCCACGCCGUAAACGAUGUCGAUUUGGAGGUUGUGCCCUUGAGGCGUGGCUUCCGGAGCUAACGCGUUAAAUCGACCGCCUGGGGAGUACGGCCGCAAGGUUAAAACUCAAAUGAAUUGACGGGGGCCCGCACAAGCGGUGGAGCAUGUGGUUUAAUUCGAUGCAACGCGAAGAACCUUACCUGGUCUUGACAUCCACAGAACUUAGCAGAGAUGCUUUGGUGCCUUCGGGAACUGUGAGACAGGUGCUGCAUGGCUGUCGUCAGCUCGUGUUGUGAAAUGUUGGGUUAAGUCCCGCAACGAGCGCAACCCUUAUCCUUUGUUGCCAGCGGUCCGGCCGGGAACUCAAAGGAGACUGCCAGUGAUAAACUGGAGGAAGGUGGGGAUGACGUCAAGUCAUCAUGGCCCUUACGACCAGGGCUACACACGUGCUACAAUGGCAUAUACAAAGAGAAGCGACCUCGCGAGAGCAAGCGGACCUCAUAAAGUAUGUCGUAGUCCGGAUUGGAGUCUGCAACUCG